GACAGAGGGUGCAAACGUUGUUCGGAAUUACUGGGCGUAAAGCGCGUGUAGGCGGCCCCUGCAAGUCGGGAUGUGAAAUCCCACGGCUCAACCGUGGAAGUGCAUUCGAAACUGCAGGGCUAGAGCCUGGAGAGGAAGGUGGAAUGCUUGGUGUAGAGGUGAAAUUCGUAGAUAUUCGGAAGAACACCAGUGGCGAAGGCGACUUACUGGACACAUAUUGACGCUGAGGUGCGAAAGCGUGGGGAGAAACAGG
rnacentral:rRNA from 1 species